GCCAGCCCGCUCAGAACUUAAAGGAAUUGACGGGGCCCGCACAAGCGGAGGAGCAUGUGGUUUAAUUCGAUGAUACGCGAGGAACCUUACCUGGGCUCGAACGUAAGAUGACUGUAGGUGAAAGCUUACAUCUCUUCGGAGCAUUUUACGAGGUGCUGCAUGGUUGUCGUCAGCUCGUGCCGUGAGGUGUCGGGUUAAGUCCCAUAACGAGCGCAACCCCUACCUUUAGUUGCCAUCAGGUUAAGCUGGGGACUCUAAAGGAACUGCCUACGCAAGUAGUGAGGAAGGCGGGGAUGACGUCAAAUCAGCACGGCCCUUACGUCCAGGGCUACACACGUGCUACAAUGGCCGAUACAGAGGGCAGCUACCUGGUGACAGGAUGCAAAUCUCCAAAGUCGGUCUCAGUUCGGAUCGGAGUCUGCAACCCGACUCCGUGAAGUUGGAUUCGCUAGUAAUCGCGCAUCAGCCAUGGCGCGGUGAAUACGUUCCCGGGCCUU
rnacentral:rRNA from 1 species